CUGAUCAACACUUCGGAUGGCGGUGAUCGUUGCGUGUGGGCCAUAGAAGAAGGAUUUUAAUAUAUUUUCUACUUUUAUACACGAUAUAAAAGUAUUUUGCCUCUGUUGGAGUAUCCGGUACAACUUUGACCUUAUUUUUUAAGUAUCUGGUAGUAUUGGUGACCAGUUUGAUCAAGCUUCUUGGAAAGCAGGUUGCUUGCCAAUCAAGGCAGGGACUGUUACAAAGUUGAGUAGCUUUAUAAGAGGCGUUAUGCAUCUUUUAAUGCUCCCCGCGGAGAAACUUUUGAGGCUGGAAAUGGAAGCAGACUCCAUUAAUACCAGUCUGUUAGAAACCAAGCAAGAUUCAUCAGUAGAGUAUUGCAACUACAAUUCCAGCCAUCACCCUUUAAUCGAUGAAAUUUGGUUGGAAUUCAAGAAGCUGUGCUACAUUGCUGGCCCUGUAAUUUUUACUUCAAUAUGGUUUUAUUCUCUGGGAGCUGUAACCCAGGCAUUUGCUGGGCAUCUUGGCAACAUCGAACUUGCUGCAGUUACCAUCAAUGAUGCAGUUAUUGGAGGCCUGGCAAUGGGAAUCAUGAUGGGAAUGAGCAGUGCGUUGGAGACAUUGUGUGGGCAAGCAGUUGGAACAGGGGACAUUCAGAUGCUGAGUGUGUAUAUGCAACGAUCUUGGAUUAUUUCCAUAGCCACAGCAAUUGUACUUACUCCUCUGUACAUAUUUGCUGGGCCAAUACUCAAGGCAUUUGGACAAUCUGAAGAGAUAUCUCAAGUUACCCAGAAAUUUUGCAUUUGGAUGCUUCCCCAACUCCUUGCAUUUUCAAUUUAUUUCCCAGUUCAGAAGUUUCUGCAGGCACAGAGCAAAGUUAUGGCCAUGGCAUGGAUAUCUCUAAUAGGCUUGAUCUUCCACAUCUUCCUUUGUUGGAUAUGCAUAGUAAAAUUGGGUUGGGGGUUAGUUGGAGCAGCAGUGAGUCUGAACAUAUCAUGGUCGAUAAUAACAUUGGGGCAGUUGAUUUAUGUAGUAUGUGGCCCAUGUUCAGAUGCCUGGAGAGGAUUAUCCAUGUUAGCCUUCAAAGAUUUGGGGGCUUUUAUUAAACUUUCCAUGGCUUCUGCAGUCAUGCUAUGCUUAGAAAGUUGGUACUUCGCAGUCCUCAUUGUUUUAACGGGAAAUUUGAAGAACCCAACUGUUGCAGUGGAUUCAAUGUCAAUCUGUAUGACAGUACUGGGAUGGCAAAUUAUGAUACCACUGGGAUUCAAUGCAGCCAUCAGUGUGAGAGUGUCCAAUGAACUCGGGGCAGGGCGCCCAAAAGCAGCAAAGCUCUCAACAAUGGUUGUGUCCUUUACUUCCAUAGUCAUAGGAAUUCUAUGCAUUGGUGUUAUUUUCAUCACCAAAGAUUAUUUUCCACUACUUUUUACUUACAGACAUCCAAGCUUGCAACACCUCUGGAACUAACAAUUCUCUUAUGCUCCUUGCAAAUGGUUUUAUCAGAGGUGGCAAUAGGGUCAGGAUGGCAAGCUUUGGUAGCAUAUGUGAACAUAGGCUGCUAUUACAUUGUAGGCAUGCCAUUGGGUAUUCUCUUAGGAUACAAACUUAAUCUUCAGGCACAGGGCAUUUAUACUGGUAUGUUGUUGGGAGUUUUAAUGCAAACCCUUAUUCUCACCAUCAUAACAUAUAGGACAGACUGGAUAAAAGAGGCUUCUCAAGCUGAAGAUCGAAUUAGAAUUUGGGGAGGUUCAGAAGGACAUGGAAAACCAGAGGAACAGGAACAGGAGGAUGGCAAGCAGACACCCUUUCACGUUUGAAAAGUAGUUUGGUCGAUUUCAGUUUUGUAAAACCAUCACAGAAACAAAAACUAUAUUUCAUUUAGUUUUAUUUUAUUGCUGCUAUAUGUAGUCUUAGUAAUAUUGUUUCCAAAA